UUCAAAACCGGUUAAAGUAAUAUAUAUUAAUUCACCACUUCCCCAAAAGAAAAUGACUAUGAGAGAGAGAAAUCAAAUAUUUCAUGAAGUUCCAUUAAAAUUUAUGAUGUCUAAAAACACAUCUGUUCCAGUCUCUGCAGUCUUUAUGGACAAACCUGAAGAGUUUAUAUCUGAAAUGGACAUGUCCUGUGAAGUCAACGAGUGCCGAAAAAUUGAGAGUCUUGAAAACCUGUAUCUGGAUUUUGAUGAUGAUGUCACAGAACUUGAAACUUUUGGAGUAACCACCACCAAAGCAUCAAAGUCACCAAGUCCAGCAAGUACUUCCACAGUACCUAACAUGACAGAUGCUCGUACAGCCCCCAAAGCAGGAACUACAACUGUGGCACCAAGUGCACCAGACAUUUCUGCUCAUUCUAGAAGUUUAUCUCAGAUUCUGAUGGAACAAUUGCAAAAGGAGAAACAGCUGGUCACUGGUAUGGAUGGUGGCCCUGAGGAGUGCAAAAAUAAAGAUGGUCAGGGAUUUGAAUCAUGUGAAAAGGUAUCAAAUUCUGAGAAGCCUUUGAUACAACAUAGUGACUUGAAAACAUCUGAUGCCUUACAGUUAGAAAAUUCUCAGGAAAUUGAAACUUCUAAUAAAAAUGAUAUGACUAUAGAUAUGGUACAUGCUGAUGGUGAAAGACCUAAUGUUCUGGAAAACGUAGACAACUCAAAGGAAAAGACUGUUGGAUCAGAAGCAGCAAAAACUGAAGAUACAGUUCUCUGCAGCAGUGAUACAGAUGAGGAGUGUUUAAUCAUUGAUACAGAGUGUAAAAAUAAUUGUGAUGGAAAGACAGCUGUUGUGGGUUCUAACUUAAGUUCUAGACCAGCUAGUCCAAAUUCUUCCUCAGGACAGGCUUCUGUAGGAAACCAGACUAAUACUGCUUGUAGUCCUGAAGAGUCAUGUGUUUUAAAAAAACCUAUCAAACGAGUAUAUAAAAAAUUUGAUGCAGUUGGAGAGAUUUUAAAAAUGCAGGAUGAGCUCUUAAAGCCAGUUUCCAGAAAAGUACCCGAAUUGCCCUUAAUGAAUUUAGAAAAUUCUAAACAGCCUUCUGUUUCAGAGCAAUUGUCUGGUCCUUCAGACUCCUCUAGUUGGCCGAAAUCUGGAUGGCCUUCUGCAUUUCAGAAGCCAAAAGGACCAAUUUCCAGUUUAUGUACUACCAAAAGUAGAAUAUCAAGCUUGUUAUGGAGUUGAAGCUCUGACUGAAAGUGAACUUUGUCGCUUAUGGACUGAAAGUUUAUUGCAUUCUAACAGCUCAUUUUAUGUUGGUAAGUUAUACAAAAGUCUUUAUUCUCCUUUUUAAUUGCCUUGUAAUUACAUACUUGUAAAUUCAAUUGUGAAUACUUCUAUUCUGCCCUUUUUUACUUUAGUUUUUAUUUAUAUAUUUAUUAGUUUUUGGAUCUCAUUCUGUUGCCCAGGCUGGAGUAUAGUCAUGUGAUCAUAGCUCACUGUAACCUCAAACUCCUGGCCUCAAGUGAUCCUCCCACUGCAGCCUUCCAAGUAGCUGGGGCUGCAGGCAAGUGCUACCAUGCCCAGCUAAUUUUUUUGUUUUUUCUUCAGAUGGGGUCUCAUUAUAUUGCCCAGACUGGUCUGGAACUUCUGGCCUCAAGCAAUCCUCAUACCUUAGCCUCCAAAAGUUCUGGUAUUACAGGGAUGAACUACCAUGCUGACCUAUUUCAGAAACACUUAUUUAAUAGUAUAAUCAAAAAUAUACAUUUGUUUUCUAGCUUCUUAUAAGAGUACUGUUUAAUUGGUUAACUAUUUAUCGAUCUAUACAUUUAUUUUGAAAUUUUCUUAAAAUGACACUACUUUUAAAACCUCAAAUAUUUUGAUGAAAUGACUUUUUCCUUUGUUUUUGUUUUGUUUUGUUUUGCUGGGGUAUGGGGAUUAGGCUGAAGUUCAAUUUGCAUUGGCUCAGUUCAUGUACAGUUAACAUCCUCACAUAAUAGAUUACUUGCUAGUCAUUAUUGGUAGUAUUACCUCCCGCUGGAAUGUCCAAUAUCGAACAUCUCAAUGCAUCUCAUAAAUCUCAAUCCCUCCUAAUCAUCUCAGACUGCUCCUCUGUGUAGUCUUUUGCUUUCUUUGAUCUCUCAGUGCAGUCUUUUACUUCUCUGUGACUUGUUACUUUGCACUUUAUUAUUCUCUCUUAACACCUAUCCCUUCUUCCUGUUAGACAAUAAGCAGCUUAAGGUCGAGUCUGAUAAAAUUCUGUGUUGAGUCUAAUAAAAUUUUGUGUUAUAGUGCAUAGCUUGAUUGCUUGUAUGUAAUAAAUCCUAUGAGGGUGUGUUUCUUAAUCAAAGAAAGGUUAUUCACUUAAAAUGUUUUUUCCUGUUUUGGUUAAUCAGUAUUUUGUUUUCAUGUUUUAUGAGAGUAUUAAGUAGAUAAUUGAUUCUUUCUGCUUAACUCAAAAAAGGAAGUAGCUAAAUGCACUAACUGGUGAUGUACUGCCUCCCUCCUCCUCCUUCAUACACAUACUCGAAGUUUUUAUAGUAAUUUUCAUUCUGUAACCAAAAUUUCAAUGUUCCUCCAAAGACCUCACACCAACAAUCUCAACAUUAGCUACUUGAAUGCAAUUUGCCAGCCACAUCCAUUUUAGAAAAGGCACAGUUAAAAACUUAUGAGUGAAAUUUUGUUUAAAGUACUGACAGAGAAUGGAGAUUCAUGACAAAAAAAAAAUUAAAGUUUCAGUUUUUAAAUGUACAGUUUAACAUCAGCUGUAUGGAUUACUUCAUUUUAAUUAUUUUGUAAAAUCCUAAGUAAUCCUAACUGCUGAUUAUUCUCUGUGAAUCCUAUCCUCUUGUGAGCCUUUCAUUUCAAUGUACUGGGAUAGUAUUUUUGGCUUCUGUGACAAGUGUUCGGUGAAAAGCAUAUAUUAAUUGUAUGGUUGUGGGAUUUUGGUUUGUUUGGGGUUUUUUGGUGGCCUGUAGGUAUGGGGGGAUAACAUCUGAGUUUUUGAGUUUUUAAAAAUGUUAUAAUACUCUUUUAAUUUAAGGAAGAUGUUCAAGAAAAUCACUUGAAGUGCUUUUAAAAGUGGAGAUUGCUGGCCCCACCCUGGAGUGUCUGAUUGACUAGGUCUGUAUUGGGACCUAAGACUUUCUCAGGUGGUACUGAUGCUGCUAGUUUAGGGACUACACUUUGAGAAUCAAUUCUAUAGCUUAUAGUCUCUUUUUCCAGUAGGAUCAACACACUUGUGAUUUGUUUGUUUGCUCUGCUUUGCUAUAAACAUGUUCCCCACUUUCCCUAGUUGCAGUACUCUUUUUAUCUUUUCCCCAUAAAAACUUCAAGAUUUACUCCUUUAAGACAGUUUCCCACAUAGUCUCAUCACAACUUCUGUAUUCACCCUCCAACUCUAUAAUAUUUAUCAAUUCUAUAUAGUUGAUAUAUAGGCAGUCCUCACUUAGCACACAGUUUCAAUAGGCACAAGUUUCAGUUAUGACCGUGUAUUAACAGUGAGUAAUUGUAUAAAGUAUAAGCUUCACUGCUGUCUCUUCAGUCCACAGAUCACUACAUAAGUAACAGGCAAAUCAUGAUCAGUGACCAGUCAUGUCACUUCUUUCAAAGUCUGUUUGUAAUUGGUUAUUGUGUACCCAUUGAGUUCAUGCACAGAAAGCAGAGUGUGCAGUUGUGUUGACUCUUUGUCUCCCAGUGAUAAACCCAUGUGAUAUUUUACCAAAGUAGAUAAUCAAAAGAAUUGGCCAACAAAUAUUAAAGCAAAGCAAAUAAACAAAAGGUGAUACUGCCAGAAGUGAAAUUUGAAUGGAACAUAAAUGGAAUUACAGAGGAAAUAGCAGAGAGUGGGAAUGUUGGCACUGCUUUUGUUCCAGUGACUCUAGAUUUGCUGCCAGACAAACUUAGUGAAAGCGUUGUGACAUAAAGAAUGAACAAGUGACACUGGCAUAAGAUUUUACACUAAACAAAUCCUGAAGAUAAUUUCAUGACAUUGAAGGCACCAAGGAUACAGUGUCGGAAGCUGAUCCUUAGGAAUAUAACGGUUCACCAUGGCAUAGAAAAGAUGCAUCCGGCCAGGUGCGGUGCCUCAAGCUUGUAAUCCCAACACUUUGGGAGGCCGAGGCGGGUGGAUCGUUUGAGGUCAGGAGUUGAAGACCAGCCUGGCCAACAUGGUGAAACCCUGUCUCUACUUAAAAUGUAAAAACUUAGCUGGACAGUAGUCGCAUGCGCCUGUAGUCCCAGGUACUCAGGAGACUGAGGCAGGAGAAUCGCAUGAGCCUGGGAGGCAGAGGUUGCAGUGAGCCAAGAUCGUACCACUGCACUCCAACCUGGCCGACAGAGUGAGACCCUGUCUCAAAAAAAAAAAAAGAAAAGAAAAAAGAUGCAUCCUUCCUAUCACAAGUUGUGCAAGAAGGUAACAAGCACUAUUCAAACUGCUCUUCAUUAACGUUUCAUAAAGAAAACACUUUAAUUUUUUGAAUUAUAGUGUACUAAAAUAUUUUACUGUUCAUUUUCCUAUACAUUUAUGAUUGAUAGAGAAUUUAUAGUGUUUUGAUAAAAAUUUUAAAGGUAACCAAACAGUUGUAAUUUUCCCUAUUGAUUGUUACAAUUGUAGGGUUUCAGCCUGUAUGGGCAUUUUUAUGGUCCUCACACUGCAUGCAAAGCAAGGAGUACCUAUACACAUAUGAAUGCAUGUAUGCAUGUAUAUGUUUAUGUGCAUAUAUACAUGAAUGAAUGCUUGUAUAUAAAAGCUUUAUUUUUAUCAUGUAUAGAUUUUAUUUGUCCUCUAUAAAUCUGUGCUUUCCAACCUUGAUGCACAUAAAUAUUUGUACAGCACACUGUGAUAUAUAAGAGAGAUUGCUUGUGGUUGAAGGGCAAUAGCCAGGAAGCUUUUGCCAUCCCAAGCAUUGCUUAGCUGCCUGAAGGGCUGAGGUGAUGAGUAUCUUAAGCACAUAUAUAUCUUAUUUGAGGCCCACAGGUUAGAAAGCUCCAAUGUUGAGAGAGUUGUGAACUCCUUGAGGAGUUAGAUCCUCAGAGCACUUAGUGUGGUAUUCUCUGUAUAGUCAUUUUUGACAGACCAUAUUUGACAUAUACUAUAAUACUUUUUUAAAUGAAUUUCUUUCAAAAGGUAAGAACUAUUCGUCUUCUCAAAGAUGUAAUUAGUAAACAUCUAAAAGUUAUUAUGCUUAGUAUUUCCUUUCUAUGGUUUUUAAAUCAUUACAAUGUGUCUUUGUUAUUAGAAAUGCCACUGUGUAAUGAGUGUUACAUAUAAUAAGUAGGUAUGGGAACAAAUGAAUUUGGUGUCUUACAAGGAAGCCAUCUGGUAAAAAUGUUUCUAAUUAUUUGUAUGAGCAUAAAGCAAAAGAAAUGAAAGGGGGCUUGGUAAGAAAAUGAAACAUUAAAUUAUGUGCAUUUUUAAUUGUCCCAGUGAUUGACAUCAGCUUUCCAGGUAAUUUGUUUUGAUACCUAAAUAUUAGGAGUUAAAAAAAUAAAAACAGUUUGUCUUCAACAUUGAUACGUGUUAUAUUCUCAUCAUGCUAGUUGAUGUUUUUAACUAUGGUACAAUACAUACGAUUUUUGUGUUGACUUGCUUAUAUAACAUUUAACCCAGGACUCUUUUAUGUCACUCUUCCUUGGUGUAUUUCAGGACCUUGGUGUUAGCUCUCAACCUGUUUUGUUUUAGAACAUACGCAUUACUUUUUAAAACAAAAGCAUCAUAUUGAGAAUUUACUGUUUUGUUUUUUGGAAUUCUAGAUUCAUAUUGUGUUUGUAAAAAAAGUAAGAGUCGGAGCUGGGCGCCGUUCCUCACACCUGUAAUCUUAGCACUUUGGGAGUCCAAGGCAGGUGGAUUGCUUGAGGCCAGUAGUUCGAGUCCAGCCUGGCCAACAUGAUGAAACUCCAUCUCUACCAAAAAUACCAAAAAAAAAAAA
rnacentral:sRNA from 1 species